AUUUACUCCAGCAGGCUAACAGUAUCGUCCAGACCUGGCAAAGCAUUUGGGUAGCCUUCCUACCAGAGGUUCAUGCCAACAUCCUGCUAAGCUUGAGCAACAACAUCUGAAUCAGGUAUCCUUUGGCUGAUCUGACAUGGGAAGACCACAAAACUGGAAUUCAAAAUGAGCCACUGCAAUCAGAAGAUAUUUCAUAUUCCAUGUGUGGGACGUAAGAUGACUGUCUGGAGACCAUUACUGAUAUUUCACGGGCCAGUAUUUGGCCUUGAAAAAGACAAUGAUUUUCCAUUAAAUUCCCUUGAAGGAUUACGUCUGGGAGCAAGGCAUUUUUCUCAUCUGCUGCCUCCUAGAGAUCUAGUAAUUCUGCUUUCUGAAUUGAAGUCUACCAUUUCCCUUUCAGCUAGAGGUCUGGAGGGACGAAGAGACCUCGGUAAUACCUAUCAUUCAGCAUCAACUA